GACCUUGAGCGUGGCUGAGGUGCACCCAGGACCAGCUCGGAAACCAGGUUGCAUAGCGGAGAAGAUCACCAACAGGAAAUGAUGUCACUUCCUUGGCGGGAAAACAACUGUGGUGAACCUGUGCAGCUGAAAGACAGCGGCAAUACAGAGAACGACGUAAUGCUGCCCCAGAAAGGAGAGUAUCUAGAGAAAGAGAGGGAGGAAAGAUAAAAGAGACUGGGAAGAAGAAGGCAAUAGCUGAACUCAGUGACAGAGUGCAGCAUGCAGAAAGGAAGAAAUGGAGAGAUUCAAACAGGAUACUCAGAGCCAGGGUCAAGACUAGUGCAUUGCUGCAGUCUGCAGAGAUGCCAUUAAAGGAACGAUGAAGAUUAAUCAGGUUAUCAGUGUCUCACCAGGCCAGAUAAAAUACUUGUCUGUGCAGAAGGAUAGUGGCAUGUUGGACUGUCCUUGUUUUCAGCUCAAAGAGGCAACUCUGGGUGACCCUGCAGCAUCUAACCAGCUCCCUACAUCUCAUGACGAGGCUGACACCACAUGGCGACCUGGAACCAUUGAACUUAAUCACGUAGGGGAGUGGUGUGUUGUCAAUUAUGACCAUGAAGGAUACCCUGGCAUCAUCAUAGAUGUAGAGGAACAUAACAUUAAGGUGAAGUGCAUGCACCUGAAUGGCAUCAACAAAUUCUUCUGGCCAAGUCCAAAGGAAGAUAUUUGUUGGUACUCUGAUGGACAGAUAAUUUGUCAGAUGCCAGAGCCAUGGGCUGUUAAUAAACACUCUGUACAGAUGGAAAGAUCCACCUGGAAGUACGUGGAAGAGCAUUUGGGGUGAAAGGGGGGACGGAUGGAAAUUGGGGGAGAGGAAGAGAGGGAGAGGAAUGUGUUUUAAUGCUAAUUCCAAUGAUUUUUCUACUGGCAAUGUAUUUUUGUGUUGUUUUUCACAAUGAAUACAGUUGAAGUCGGAAGUUUACAUACACUUAGGUUGGAGUCAUUAAAACUCGUUUUUCAACCACUCCACAAAUUUCUUUUUAACAAACUAUAGUAUGGGCAAGUCGGUUAGGAAAUCUACUUUGUGCAUGACACACAUCAUUUUUACAACAAUUGUUCACAGACAGAUUAUUUCACUUAUAAUUCACUUUAUCACAAUUCCAGUGGGUCAGAAGUUAGCAUACACUAAGUUGACUGUGCCUUUAAACAGCUUGGAAAAUUCCAGAAAAUGAUGUCAUGGCUUUAGAAGCUUCUGAUAGCCUAAUUGACAUCAUUUGAGUCAAUUGGAGGUGUACCUGUGGAUGUAUUGAUGUUGUAGGCCUUCACAAGUCUGGUUCAUCCUUGGGAGCAAUUUCCAAACGCCUGAAGGUUCAUCUGUACAAACAAUAGUACGCAAGUUUAAACACCAUGGGACCACGCAGCCAUCAUACUGCUCAGGAAGGAGACGCGUUCUGUCUCCUAGAGAUGAACGUACUUUGGUGCGAAAAGUGCAAAUCAAUCCCAGAACAACAGCAAAGGACCUUGUGAAGAUGCUGGAGGAAACGGGUACAAAAGUAUCUAUAUCCACAGUAAAACGAGUCCUAUAUCAACAUAACCUGAAAGGCCGCUCAGCAAGGAAGAAGCCACUGCUCCAAAACCGCCAUUAAAAAAAGCCUGACUACGGUUUGCAACUGCACAUGGGGACAAAGAUUGUACUUUUUGGAGAAAUGUCCUCUGGUCUGAUGAAACAAAAAUAGAACUGUUUGGCCAUAAUGACCAUUGUUAUGUUUGGACUAAAAAGGGGGAGGCUUGCAAGCCGAAGAACACCGUCCCAACCAUGGAGCAUGGGGGUGGCAGCAUCAUGUUGUGGGGGUGCUUUUCUGCAUGAGGGACUGGUGCACUUCACAGAAUAGAUGGCAUCAUGAGGAAGAACAUUUUGUGGAUAUAUUGAAGCAACAUCUCAAGACAUCAAUCAGGAAGUUAAAGCUUGGUCGCAAAUGGGUCUUCCAAAGUGACAAUGAGCCCAAGCAUACUUCCAAAGUUGUGACAAAAUGGCUUAAGGACAACAAAGUCACGGUAUUGGAGUGGCCAUCACAAAGUCCGGAUCUCAAUCCUUUAGAAAAUGUGUAGGCAGAACUGAAAAGUGUGUGUGAACAAGGAGGCCUACAAACCUGACUCAGUUACACCAGCUCUGUCAGGAGGAAUGGGCCAAAAUUCACCCAACUAAUUGUGGGAAGCUUGUGGAAGGCUACACGAAACGUUUGACCCGAGUAAACAAUGUAAAGGCAAUGCUACCAAAUACUAAUUGAGUGUAUGUAAACUUCUGACCUACUGAGAAUGUGAUGAAAGAAAUAAAAUCUGAAAGAAAUAAUUUUCUCUACUAUUAUUCUGACAUGUCACAUUUUUAAAAUAAAGUGGUGAUCCUAACUGACCUAAGACAGGGAAUUUUUACUAGGAUUAAAUGUCAGGAAUUGUGAAACUGAGUUUAAAUGUUUUUGGCUAAGGUGUAUGUAAACUUCCGACUUCAACUGUAUGUUACUAAAUAGCAGUUUCAAUGGUGUUACUACAUCUAUUACUAUGUAGAUGUCUAUUCAGGGUUUCAUUUAUGUUCUGUCCCGUUUAUAGCUGUCCACCCUGUUAUACCUUGUUCCACCCUGUUAUCGUGGCAUCUUUUUCAAGUUAAUUCAGUUACAUUACACAAAUUCUUGAUAUUUGAGAAUGUAUUUUAAAGAGUGAGACACGACCAACACCACACAAUCAGGACAUUGUCUGGAAUAAAGCUUGGUUGAUGCCUUACAAAUAUUGUUUACCAAACAAAUUUAAGGAAGUGCACUUUAAGAUUCUACAAGAUAUAUCCAUGUAAUUUUAUGUUUCCCAAUUUGUGGCUAUUGAUGAUAUCUGCGUUUUCUGCUAAAAAGGUGAAAAUCUGACUCACUUGUUCUAUGAAUGUAAAACUGUGAUAGAUUUUUGUGAAAACCUUGCAGAAUAAUUAUUUACCUUUUUAAACACUACCCAUGUUUUUGACAUGAAGGAUAUACUGUAAUAUAUUACUAUUGCAAUGAUAACAAGACCAUUGAAAUUAUUGUGCCUUUUUUAUUAUUGUUACCAAAUGCUUUAUACACAAACAACAAUUCCAGAAUUAUAUUACAAAGUUAUAAAUAUUUUUGAUUGAAUUUAAU
rnacentral:lncRNA from 1 species